rnacentral:rRNA from 1 species
UCCUACGGGAGGCAGCAGUGGGGAAUAUUGGACAAUGGGCGCAAGCCUGAUCCAGCCAUGCCGCGUGAGUGAUGAAGGCCUUAGGGUUGUAAAGCUCUUUUGUCCGGGAAGAUAAUGACUGUACCGGAAGAAUAAGCCCCGGCUAACUUCGUGCCAGCAGCCGCGGUAAUA